ensembl:misc_RNA 7SK 7SK RNA
AGACUCCCUGAGCUCUGGCUGCCACAUCUGUCACCCCAUUGACGCCAGAGUUGAUUCAGCUGAUCUGACUGGCUAGGCAAGUGUCCCCUUCCUCCUUCACUGCUCCAUCUUUGUCCCUCCUAAAGCUGUGUGCUAGGUCAGAAAGGAUGACCUUCCCAAACAGAGGAGCCGUCUCCGGUCAAGGGUAGCUGCGUUCCCCUGCUAGAAAUUCCAAAGAUGCUCAAGGUCCAUUUGAGGGUUUUCCUUACUGUUUUGAAAGUAUUCUAACUCAACAUAAUUCAGAAGAAUGGAAAGUGUCUACUU